AAAGCCUCCAGUGCCAUGUUGAAUAAGAGUGGUGAGAGUGGGCACACUUGUCUUGUUCCUGUUCUCAGAGGGAUGGCUUUCAAUUUUUCCCCAUUGAGUGUGAUGUUGGCUAGAUUGGCUGGGGGUUCAUCAAACUGAUCCAUUUCCCGAACUGCGAGCAGAAGUGAGGUGAGCCAGCUCCAGUCUCCUCUCCGGUCUGUCACCACCACCCUGAAGCUUCAUGUUGAAGACGAAGGGCCGCACAGAAGGGGUCCCGGUCCGAGUCACUGCUCAGGGGAGAGCUGCCCGAUGAUCAAGAAUAUCUGUUUGGACGUGAGCGAGUUUGGGCUAUGCAACAGGUCCUGACCUGGCCUGUUAAGUAUGCAUUGGACAUCUGCUUUAAACAUUCACAUGUCCCAAGGCCAAGAAUGAUGCCCUUAACGACAGGGACGUAGCUUUCCGACCUCCAUAUCGGCAUUUCCUUAAGGAUAAGCAUCUCUUCCUGGAAACUGAGGAUUAAUUACCGACCUGCUGUGCUCACCUUGUGACCUCUGACCUGCUGUGCUGUGACUGUUGUAAAAGAGAUAUUCCUGUGAUAUGUGAUGUCUGCUCUUUGCUUCAAGACGAUAUAUAACCGCUCUGUACACCCCACUUCUUGGGCGUUUUUCCUUAUAAAUCAAGGAUUAUGGAUUAUUUGUAUCGACAAUAGUAAUUACACUGCAA
rnacentral:lncRNA from 1 species